GACAGAGGCCUCAAGCGUUAGGCGGAAUCACUGGGCGUAAAGCGCACGUAGGCGGAUUGUUAAGUCAGGGGUGAAAUCCUGGAGCUCAACUCCAGAACUGCCUUUGAUACUGGCGAUCUUGAGUCCGGGAGAGGUGAGUGGAACUCCGAGUGUAGAGGUGAAAUUCGUAGAUAUUCGGAAGAACACCAGUGGCGAAGGCGGCUCACUGGCCCGGUACUGACGCUGAUGUGCGAAAGCGUGGGGAGCAAACAGG
rnacentral:rRNA from 1 species